ACUCCUACGGGAGGCAGCAGUGGGGAAUCUUAGACAAUGGGGGAAGCCCAUCGAUCUAGCCAUGCCGCGUGAGCGAUGAAGGCCUUAGGGUUGUAAAGCUUCUUUCAGCUAGGGAAGAUAAUGACGGUGACCAGCAGAAGAAGCCCCGGCUAACUCCGUGCCAGCAGCCGCGGUAAUACGGAGGGGCUAGCGUUGUUCGGAAUUACUGGGCGUAAAGCGCACGUAGGCGGAUUGGUAAGUUGGGGGUGAAAUCCCGGGGCUCAACCCCGGAACUGCCUCCAAAACUCCCAGUCUUGAGGUCCGAGAGAGGUGAGUGGAAUUCCGAGUGUAGAGGUGAAAUUCGAUAGAUAUUCGGAGGAACACCAGUGGCGAAGGCGGCUCACUGGCUCGAUACUGACGCUGAGGUGCGAAAGCGUGGGGAGCAAACAGGAUUAGAUAGCCCUGGUAGGCUCUC
rnacentral:rRNA from 1 species